GACGUGGACCCCGUUUCAGGGCGCCCCGGGCCCCUGCGGGGAACAAUAGCCGCCGCCUCCUGGGCGGUCUGGCGGGCGCGCGGCACAAACGUCCGCGCCGCCACGUGAUGCGCGCGCUCGUUCCGCGCUCUCCGCGCCUCAGCGAGCGGCCAGGCUGCGGGCGGGGUGGGCUGGCGCUCCUGAUCCACCUGGAACACUUUUGCAAAGACAGACGCGGUUCCUCCUACUUCAGAGCAAGUCUGGGCCAGCUGGGAUCCGACCAGAAAUCGCAAGCGGAGGAGACGCAGUAGCGCAGGCUGAGCGCUAACUGAAGGCGCGACCUGAGCCCGGCGCCUGCUGGGGAGCUGCGCAGCCAGGACAGCGGUCGGCAGCACAGGGCCUGGGCGCAGGGCCCGCCGUCACCACCUCACGUCGGAAGCCAGCACUGCUGCCCGCCAGCCCUGCCGCCUGCCCUCGGACUUCCCAGGGCGCCCAGGGUCCUCCCAACGCGCCUGCACCCACACCCGCCCCUGAGCCACAGUGACCUUGCAUUCCCCGCCCCCUGCCACACCUCCUGCGUGCCCGAGUGUCACCCUUAAAUACCGCUCUACACCCAGAGAGGGACGAAUACACCUCUGAAGACAGGGCAAGACUAAUUUCAAUGGGUCAGAAGGUUCUUGCAGGCACUGUUUUAUUUAAGAGUGCCUAUUUACUGGCAGGAGUAUUUGUGUGGGAGGAAGUAGGCUAAGACUGCUGUUGAACUUGAAGCUAAACUUGAAUGCCAUUUAAAAUAACAAUAAAAAUAUACUUAAAACACCAAUCACAA
rnacentral:lncRNA from 1 species